GUGCUCACUUUCAUAGCACAUACACUAAAAUUGGAAUGAUACAGAAAAGAUUAGCAUGACUCAUGUGCAAGGAUAACAUACAAAUUCACGAAGCAUUUUAUAUUAAA
rfam:Erinaceus europaeus unplaced genomic scaffold scaffold00210, whole genome shotgun sequence